UAAAAUUAUUUUAUAUAAUAUAUUAGAAAUGAAAUGUUAUUCGUUUUUAAAGGUAUCUAGUUCUUUAAGAAAUAAAUUUAAUUUAGAAAUUUUAUAUUAUUUAAUUUAAUAUAUUAAUUAAAUAAUUAUUUAAUUUUAAUAUUUUAUGGGAUAAGCUAUAAAAUAAAAUUUUAAAAAUUAUUAAUAAUAUUAAUAAAUAUAAGCUUAUAAAUAGUUAUUAUUAAUAAAAAUGUUAUAAUUUAUUUAUAUAUAUAUAUAUAUAUAUAUUAUUUAUUUAUGUUUUAAAUUUCUAUUAAAGUAUUUAUUUUAUUUUUAAAAAUAAAAUAAUAAUGAUAAAAUUAGUAUAUUAUUUUUGUAUAUAUAUAUAUAUAUAAUAAGUUUUUAUAAAGAAUUUGGCAAAAAUUAAUAUUCGCCUGUUUAACAAAAACAUGUCUUUAUGAAUUUUUUUAUAAAGUCUAACCUGCCCACUGAAAUUAAUUUAAAUGGCUGCAGUAUUUUGACUGUACAAAGGUAGCAUAAUAAUUAGUCUUUUAAUUGAAGGCUGGUAUGAAUGGUUGGACGAAAUAUUAACUGUUUCAUAAAAAUUUUUAUUAGAAUUUUAUUUUUUAGUUAAAAAGCUAAAAUUUAUUUAAAAGACGAGAAGACCCUAUAAAUCUUUAUAUUUUUAAUUAUAUUAAUUUUUUAGAAUUAUUUUAUUAUUAUAAUUAAUAAUAUUUUAUUGGGGUGAUAUUAAAAUUUGAUUAACUUUUUUUAUUAUUAUAACAUUAAUUUAUGUAUAAUUGAUCCAAUAAUAUUGAUUAAUAAAAUAAGUUACUUUAGGGAUAACAGCGUAAUUUUAUUGGAGAGUUCUUAUUAAUAAUAAAGAUUGCGACCUCGAUGUUGGAUUAAGAUAUAAUUUUAGGUGUAGUAGCUUAAAUUUUAAGUCUGU
rnacentral:rRNA from 1 species